CUGGGAUUUCCGUCACUCAGGGAGUCACCAGGCUUGGCAAGGAGGCUGGAGGUCCUCUUCCCAGACUGGACUCUUCUUACCGACUGAGUGAGCAUCGUCUGCCUCCCUGAGGGCAAGGAGGAGAAGAGGCCAGGACUGUUAGUUACAAGGGCCCAGGAGGGUCCUGCUACCGGCCUCUUAAGAUGCAGGGAAGCAGACAUGGAUCAUCGGAUGCUGGUGAGCAGCCGGUGGGCCAGGCCCCUACGUUAUGAUCUGGGCCUGUCCUUCUCAGCAGAAUGGAGCCUUAUUUUCCUCAUCUGUAAAAUGGAGAUAUUAGUUCCCACCUCAGAGGGUGGUAGUCCAGCUGGCAUGAGAAUUUCAUGAGGACUGAGCUGAGAGCUGUGCAGAGCUAGAUCGGAGUGAAGGCUGCGGAGGCCUGGGGAGGGACAGGAUGCUGCUGAUUCCUGGGAACAAGAGGACUUCCUCUCUGAGUGACCACCAGGGGCUGCUGACCCAGUAUUUCGGACCCCAGAAAUCCAGAGUCCAGG